rnacentral:rRNA from 1 species
GGAUCAGUAAGUUGGUCGUGCCUUUGGCACGCACUGGCUUACUGGUUCCUCCUUCUUGAAGAACUGUAAUGUCAUUAAUUUGGUGUUGCAGGGAAACAGGACUGUUACUUUGAAAAAAUUAGAGUGUUUAAAGCAGGCAUUUUGCUCGAAUACAUUAGCAUGGAAUAAUAAAAUAGGACGGUUGGUUCUAUUUUGUUGGUUUCUAGGAUCACCGUA